CAUUUAUUGACUGUUUAGAGGCUGUAAGGCUUUUACCUAACUUAACUGUAUUUAGUAUUAAUGAUGCUGCAUUCUUUCCUCAGAAGCUAAAGUUUUUCAAAGACAUUUGUAGGGAGGGCUUUGCAGCUAAUGAUUUCCUACGGCUGAACCAAAACCUGCCAGACUAAAGUUGAUUUGGGAGAGAAAGACGUUGUAAACUUUAGGGCUGCACGAUAAAUCGCAUGCGAUACCACGCGCAUCACGUCAGUAAUGCCGGUUCCUUGAUUAGUAUUAAAUCGCCAUCAGCUGUUUUCAGAUGGAGCAGCUUUAACUACACAGAGCCUUAAGCCCGGGAUACACUGCACGAUUAUUGGCUGUCCAAGGCGAAAGAUUGCCAUCGUGAAACUAUCGUCGCGAUUUCUGUGAUCGUGGAUCUCCAUCGGUGGUCCUAUGUCGUACAGUGAGAGAGGUUCAAAGACGGACGUUUUCCCAGUCUUGCGUCCAAAGAUAGCCUACGAUAGUUUUCUGGCAGUGUCAGAAAUUCGCCAUGAUCACCGCACAGUGUGUUUGCUGCUACGACCUGCGCGCCGGUAUUUGUUUACCACAAGCUCAUGCUGGUGAUGUUGCGCAACAUGUGACGCUGCCGCCAAAGCUUCCGUGUCAUCAUCGUACAGUCUACAUGCCUCUCGUACCCGAGUUUAAACGAUACAUGUCGCACAGUGUGAUAAGGUAAUGAUCUUAUAAGAGGACAAAAAUCGUGCAGUGUAUUCCGGGCUUUAGUUCCCUGACAAGCUGGGCCAUAUCGCAUACAUAUCGCAGGCGAUACGUCCGCGAUAAUUAAUGCGAAAUUGCCCCGAUUGUCAGUGAACUACGGCUCUGUGUAGUUAAAGCUGCUCCAUCUGAAAACAGCUGAUGGUGAUUUAAUACUAAUCAAGGAACCGGCAUUACUGAGGAGAUACGCCUGACAAACACAUGCGAUUUAUCGUGCAGCCCUAAACUCAAUCAUCUUGACAUUCUUCAAUGAGUAAUUGUUCAAUUUUUAGGCAAAUACUGUACACUUUGAAUGCUGUGAAUAAAACUAUAUUUUAAAUAUAUUUAAAAUGAA